GAAGCAUGGAAAGGACAUCAGCAAGGAUAACAGGGCUUUGGGAAAGCUCAGGAGAGAAGCUGAGCGUGCCAAGCGAGCACUGAGCAGUCAGCAUCAAGUCAGGGUUGAGAUUGAAUCUCUCUUCGAUGGUGUAGAUUUCUCUGAACCACUUACUCGGGCUCGUUUUGAGGAGCUGAACAACGAUUUAUUCAGGAAGACAAUGGGUCCUGUUAAGAAGGCUAUGGAGGAUGCUGGACUAGAAAAGAACCAGAUUGAUGAAAUUGUUUUGGUUGGUGGAAGUACCAGGAUUCCUAAAGUUCAACAGCUUUUGAAAGAUUAUUUUGAUGGCAAGGAGCCCAACAAGGGUGUCAACCCCGACGAAGCAGUUGCUUAUGGUGCAGCUGUACAAGGAGGAAUCUUGAGUGGAGAGGGAGGUGAUGAAACCAAAGGUACUGCUUCGUCCUGACUUAUUUCAGCCAUUUGAUAUUGGAGAGUUUUAUUUGGUAAAAAACUAACAUUUUCUUUUGAAUUUUAACCAGAUAUUCUUCUACUGGAUGUUGCUCCACUGACUCUUGGUAUUGAAACGGUUGGAGGAGUGAUGACAAAGUUGAUCCCAAGGAACACCGUUAUUCCUACUAAGAAAUCUCAAGUCUUCACCACUUACCAGGAUCAGCAGACAACAGUCACAAUUUCGGUAAAACUUCAGAGUAUUUUCCUAAUUAAAUGAAUGUGUUGUGCUAAACCCAAGAAGAUUAAUUAUUAUUUAUGGUUCUUCUGACUUGAAAUUUCUCA
rnacentral:lncRNA from 1 species